UACGUAGGGACCGAGCGUUGUCCGGAAUCAUUGGGCGUAAAGAGCGUGUAGGCGGCCAAUUAAGUCCUGCGUGAAAUCUCGGGGCUCAACCCCGAGCGGUCGUGGGAAACUGGUUGGCUAGAGUGCGGGAGAGGAGAGUGGAAUUCCUGGUGUAGCGGUGAAAUGCGCAGAUAUCAGGAAGAACACCCGUGGCGAAGGCGGCUCUCUGGGCCGUAACUGACGCUGAGGCACGAAAGCGUGGGUAGCAAACAGG
rnacentral:rRNA from 1 species